UUUUUCUAGGCGACUGAUUUAAUUUUUUGGAAUACCCUCGUAUCGUAUUACGUUGCGGUGCACCUUAGGGGGUAGUUGUGUCGCGACACACUGGGUUUGCUGUAUAUAAGGCUCAGGACGUGUGUUGCGGGCCUUUUUUGCUCUUUUCUUUUUUUGGGUUGGAUUCUCUCGCCGUCUUAAGAGCUGAGUGCAAUUUAUUGUGGGUGAGUCAUUGUAGUUUCUUAUGGUAUAAGCUUUGCUUUAGUGUAAGUUGAUUUUGUGUGUUUUGAAAAAGAAGAUUAAGAUUCUGUAGGAUUUUUUUUUACUCUCUCUCUUGUGUCUCGUGUUAGGAGUUGUGGGUGUCUCUCUAACCCAACGAACAAUUUUUUAACACGUAGCACUGCGUUGCUAUUUACUUUUUCUAGGCGACUGAUUUAAUUUUUUGGAAUACCCUCGUAUCGUAUUACGUUGCGGUGCACCUUAGGGGGUAGUUGUGUCGCGACACACUGGGUUUGCUGUAUAUAAGGCUCAGGACGUGUGUUGCGGGCCUUUUUUGCUCUUUUCUUUUUUUGGGUUGGAUUCUCUCGCCGUCUUAAGAGCUGAGUGCAAUUUAUUGUGGGUGAGUCAUUGUAGUUUCUUAUGGUAUAAGCUUUGCUUUAGUGUAAGUUGAUUUUGUGUGUUUUGAAAAAGAAGAUUAAGAUUCUGUAGGAUUUUUUUUUACUCUCUCUCUUGUGUCUCGUGUUAGGAGUUGUGGGUGUCUCUCUAACCCAACGAACAAUUUUUUAACACGUAGCAACU
rnacentral:misc_RNA from 1 species